rnacentral:rRNA from 1 species
AUACGGAGGGUGCAAGCGUUGUUCGGAAUCAUUGGGCGUAAAGCGUACGUAGGCGGUUUGUUAAGUCAGAUGUGAAAGCCCCGGGCUCAACCUGGGAACUGCAUUUGAAACUGGUCAACUGGAGUAUGGUAGAGGGGGGUAGAAUUUCUGGUGUAGCGGUGAAAUGCGUAGAUAUCAGAAGGAAUACCGAUGGCGAAGGCAGCCCCCUGGACCAAUACUGACGCUGAGGUACGAAAGCGUGGGGAGCAAACAGGAUUAGAUACCCCUGUAGUCC